CAAGUCUUGACAUCCCAUUGACGAGAGGGCAAUGCCUCUUUCCCUUCGGGGCAAUGGAGACAGGUGGUGCAUGGUUGUCGUCAGCUCGUGUCGUGAGAUGUUGGGUUAAGUCCCGCAACGAGCGCAACCCCUGUGCUUAGUAGCCAGCAGUAAGAUGGGCACUCUAGGGAGACUGCCGGGGAUAACUCGGAGGAAGGUGGGGACGACGUCAAAUCAUCAUGCCCCUUAUGACUUGGGCUACACACGUGCUACAAUGGCGUAAACAAAGGGAAGCAGCCCUGUGAAGGUGAGCGAAUCCCAAAAAUAACGUCUCAGUUCGGAUUGUAGUCUGCAACUCGACUACAUGAAGCUGGAAUCGCUAGUAAUCGCGAAUCAGAAUGUCGCGGUGAAUACGUUCCC
rnacentral:rRNA from 1 species